GCGGACGGGUGAGUAAUGUCUGGGAAACUGCCUGAUGGAGGGGGAUAACUACUGGAAACGGUAGCUAAUACCGCAUAACGUCGCAAGACCAAAGAGGGGGACCUUCGGGCCUCUUGCCAUCGGAUGUGCCCAGAUGGGAUUAGCUAGUAGGUGGGGUAACGGCUCACCUAGGCGACGAUCCCUAGCUGGUCUGAGAGGAUGACCAGCCACACUGGAACUGAGACACGGUCCAGACUCCUACGGGAGGCAGCAGUGGGGAAUAUUGCACAAUGGGCGCAAGCCUGAUGCAGCCAUGCCGCGUGUAUGAAGAAGGCCUUCGGGUUGUAAAGUACUUUCAGCGGGGAGGAAGGGAGUAAAGUUAAUACCUUUGCUCAUUGACGUUACCCGCAGAAGAAGCACCGGCUAACUCCGUGCCAGCAGCCGCGGUAAUACGGAGGGUGCAAGCGUUAAUCGGAAUUACUGGGCGUAAAGCGCACGCAGGCGGUUUGUUAAGUCAGAUGUGAAAUCCCCGGGCUCAACCUGGGAACUGCAUCUGAUACUGGCAAGCUUGAGUCUCGUAGAGGGGGGUAGAAUUCCAGGUGUAGCGGUGAAAUGCGUAGAGAUCUGGAGGAAUACCGGUGGCGAAGGCG
rnacentral:rRNA from 1 species